rnacentral:tRNA from 2 species
GUGCUCGUAGCUCAGUUGGAUAGAGCAACGGAUUUCUAAUCCGUAGGUCGCAGGUUCGAGCCCUGCCGGGCACACCA